rnacentral:misc_RNA from 1 species
CUCAUAUAUAUCUUUUUCACAAACACUUAAUAUAGAUGUUUUGAAUUAUAAUGUCUCAGUAGAUGAUAAUGUUUUGGGCAAUAACCUGUUACAAUAGCCAAAUGGGUGCUUGCCGUUUCUUUUCAAGGUUCAAAUUGGACAAUCUUCUAUUUCUUUACGCAACAUAUAGAGUUGUUUCCAAGGAAAAUUUACACAUUAUAAAAUCAAGCACACUCCGCUACCCGCUACUGCAGUGCCUUGAUCAUCUUUCUACGCCAAAUUGCAGUGUCUGGGUCAAAUCUCAAUUCCCAUGUAGGCCAGUAGUGCAAGUCUUGCUUCAAUGUUAGCACUUGUGGCUUUCCAUUCAACUUAAUCGUUCUUAUGCGAACAAAUUCCUCGCUGCCUAAUUCCUUUGUCAGGCUAACAAAAGCAUCCAAAUCAGGAGUUGGUUUUCCAUUGACUUCAACUAUCCAACAAAGAGCACAUAAACCAUAUCUAUCUGCAGGACUCCCCCGAUACCACUUUGCAACAUACACACCAUGGCCUUCUUCAGGAAGAAAACCAAGAGCACGCACUGCUGGAUGAGGAUAUUGCAAAAUACAUCCACACCAAUUUAUCAUUCGUGCUGUGCCAUUCCCAUCUCUAAUAUCUGUUCCUACAAGAAGAUCAACUUCACAUCCCUGUCGAAAAAUGGUCAAGCUGAGUUUCCCAUCAUUGUCACCAUGCUUCUCUAAUGCCUUGCAAGCAUUUUCUAUGUCCUGGAAACAAGUAACUGGCUCCUUAUUGACUGCCAGCACCAUGUCACCUUGUUUUAAUAGGUUCUCAGCCUUAGAUCCAGCCAAACAACCUUUAACACGUAAAACUUGUCGCUUUAUUGGAUCCUUCCGGACAAGAGCUUGGAUCCAAUCAUCAUUCAGACCAAAACUCCGAGCCUUUGAAAGCAAUCUAGGGAUAAGUUCAACCUCUAAAAUCCUAACAAGUGGCAUUGGCCUUUUGACACCAUUUAUGAGAAGAGAUGGUCCGUCUCCACCAGAUAUGAUCUUGUCAAGUACUUGGCUGACCAUAUGGAUUGGAAUACCUUUAACAAAUUGAGGACUGCCACCAGAUUUUGGCUUAGUUGAACUUGAAAAGCUUGCCCAUAUAGCUUGAACCUUUCCAUGCUCAUUACCUAGAACUCCCGUAAAUGCAUUGCCAAAAUCAGAAUCAAGCUCAAUCACUUCCAUAUUUGUUGCUCUAUAACAUGGAGGAUCACCUGAGCUAACAUGUAAUGAAAGACAAGGGUUUGUUACAGUUGACUUCCUAGAGACUGCUUUUAGACUUCUUAGCCCCACAAGAUAUACUGUAUCUCCACGACAUAGUUCAGGCUUCGGAAGGAGUUCAGCUGCACGGACCAUUGAAGCACCUACAGCUCCCAAAGCUGAGGGGUUAUAUGCUACAAGAGCAUAAUUGUAAACAGGAUGAAGAAAAACCACCUCCCCUGGAACUUCAAUAGGAUACGCAGCAAAGGAUAGCAUCACAUCUGAUGCAGAUAUUGCAACCGUGUUCUUGUCAACUGCAACCAAUCCCAUUCCUUGAGAAUGGUGUACAAUGACACCAGUUCCGAAAAAAUGUUGUGAAUGGACACCAUCAAGCAAACAUGAUGGAGGCACAUUAACCUCAAGCAUUACAAGAGCAGGCUCUAUCAUACAUUCUGGAAAUAAACCAUUAGUUGCAGCUUUUGUUGUGUAUUCAUGGAGGCUUGAAUUUGCACUUUCCAUGAUCAUUGGAUCCUCCAGCUUAAUUUCUCCACUUUCAUGUGAGGAACUGUCGGCCACACCAUUUCCUCUUCUAGACAAAUCACCUAGUACUUGUGUAUUUAUGGGAACAUCAUAUUCAUCUGUCGAAUAAACUUCCUUAGUAGCUUGAUCAUAAUUGGCUUCCAUGCUAGCAAUACUGUUACUUAACUCCAAGUCAUUAACUUGAGGCGUGUUUUCCACAACAGUAUAUUCACUGCUUAAUGCAGAUGUCUCUUCUUUCAAACCUUGUCCAAGAUCACCAACACAAGAUGCGAGCAGCAGGGACUCAAGUGGAAUAGCAGGCCUUGCUAUCCAUAAACCAGAACUAUCAUCGCGAGUGUAUAUCUUUGGAAUAUCAUACCAUUCAUGGCGGUCUAUUGUGACCAGGACAGACUUCGUUCGAUGACGGUCCCUGUAGUAUAUAUACUCUAAUGGCACUCGAGCGCCCCUUGACAACUUAGAAAAAACUGAGAUUAGUUCUUCAAGUUGUGAUAUCUCUACAUCAGCAAACUUCGUAAUGAUGGCAUGUCGAGGAACUCCUGCUUUAAAUAGCAUAUAUCCAGGGUCUGAAAUAUAUACAAGACCACAAUGGAAGCGGAAGUUUCUAGCCUGUUGAUAAGACAAAGGAUGUAUCACUGCUCCACCUACUUCUAAGAAGUGGUUAGGAGUAAUUGAGUGUAAAUCUUGAACCAUUAUGUUUAUUGUCAAAGAAGUGCUACCCCUUUCAAUCUGUAAUUCAAUCUCAUUGCCAACACUGUCAUCAAGCAGUGUCUCCAAUAUCAAAAAUUGAGUGGUUACUUCUCCAUUCACACGAACUAGCACAUCCCCUGGCUCCAAUUGCGUAUGAGAUGGACCACCUGGGACCACAGAGUGAACAACAAGCAUUCCGGUUUCACCUGUUAGAGAAGCUUGCCGUACCAUCUGCUCUGUUUCAAGUUGAAGACCAAGUCGACGUACCUCAUCAAAUCCUUUAUAGCAAAAUGUCACCUGAAGUGUACCACGCGGUACAAAAAUUGUCUCCCAUUUGCUUAUUUUAGAAUCUUUACCCUUCUGGAUAAGUUUCAAUGUCCUAACAACACGCUCUAAAGGUAAAAAGAAGGCUGAAGAACUUGAUGACCUGUUGUUCUUGCCCCCAGCAUUCAAAGCCACUGCCUUGCCUUGCCGAUCAAUCACUGGUGAACCACUAGAACCACCUCUAGUUCCAGAUGCUGCCUGAAAAAUUGUGAAAAAAACAUACUUCAAAAAUACUAAAUGAAACAAACUAUGCAUGUAUAAGUUAAUUAAAAGCAAAAAUAAUUGGCUUUCUUUGUUACUGGUAUAUCCAAUGACAAAGUUAACCCAUUAUGACAUGUAUAUUGAUCAUCCAAAAUGCCCAUAAUUUACAAAAAGAUGAAUUUGAAGCCAAAAUUAUUAGGCAGCUUGCAAAAACACUAUAAAGAACAUUUGUCAAAGAAAUUUAUCCAAAACUAGAACACUUUUCUCCAUUCUUGAAAUAAGAAAUUCCAUUAAUAAUUUACAUUUGUUUGCAAAACUAGAAGAGAAACUUGAAAAGGAGUCCAAUCCAAAAGUUUAAGCCAUUUUCAUACGCAUAAAUAUUGAAACACAUCACAAUGCCCUUACCUUGUGCUAUCCUUGCAAUGAUAUUGAGUGCUUGGUUGGACAGAAUGUUGGGACUUUGCAGGAUAAAGUUUACAUUUUGUGGUCACUAUGAAAUAGCAACUAAUGUUAAACUAUAAUUGCUAGAUAUGAGAAGAACCAGGUAUAGAUCUUUUGAAUGCUUCCAACUAUAACAUACACCUUGCAGAAAAAGCUACUCACUUUGUCCUCCUUUAACUAAUAUCCCUUGAGAAUGUUUCCCACCAAUUCCUAAUGAUAGUAUAUAGACUCUUUUUAUGAAAAUUCUGCCAUCCAACCAUAAGCUAAUUCUUCUCCACAACAACCUAGAAAGUUUUUUCCCAGGGAAGUCUAGCAGCAGAACCUAUCUUUCUCACACCCAGAGUGAUACCUAGAUAGGCAAGCAUGAAUUGUUGAAAUUAACCAGUCAUAGUUAAUCUUAUUAACGCACCAAUGUGACAAAAGGUCCUCUAUGUUCUUCAUUUAGCAGCACAAAGAACUAACUACUUACUUGAAUGUAGAACGUGUUGAAGUCAUUAUAACCAUCUUUUUUAUAUGUAGGAGCAUUUCGAUCCAAACGAGCAAGAGUGCCAGCCAAAAUGGAUACCUUCUCGUUACUAUCGUUGCCAACAACUCUGAUUUCCAGUCCAACACAAGCAGCCUCAGGGACAAGAGGAAUCUCCUCAUAGUUUAGAAAUUGUAUUGCACCAGGAUCAUAACGAAAGAAGCCAAAAUCAUGGACUGGAUCCCGGUAUAUAGGAUACACAGGAAUUUCUUCGUGGUUUACAAAUAUAGCCUGUGCAACUACUGGGCCAGGCUUAACGACGUGGCGAUUGGUGAGGAUGAUGCCACGUUGCUUAUCGACGACGAACCCCGUGGCGGAGCCAAAGGAGGAAAGUUCGGUGUCGAAGGAGCGACAGGCAGUAAUACGCAGCACCACCACGGCGGGAACCACCUUGUUGAUAGUCUCUCUCCAAUCCUCGGCGGUGUCCACCUUCUCUCGAAACGGAGAGCCGUUGUCCCUGCAAAAAUCCUCCACUUGGUCGUGCUCGUCGUCACUCGAUUGCAGCCUCAUAGACUCCAUCUCCGAUUCCAAUUUCUCCAUUGAACGUGAAUGCGAAUCUUCCUUCUCUCUUCUUCUCUAAGGAAAAAUUAGCUUGACUUGGGAUUUUGGAGUCUUCGUUUUCUUAUUUCUGUUUUUGCUGUUUGUCUUCUUCGUCGUCGUCGUCAACCAAUAGAAAAUAAUAAUUAAUAAAAUUG